GCAAGCCUCACAGGGUUUUUUCACACUCUUUAUUCUCUUUCUGGCAUCACCCUCUAUGACAUCACCUAACUGUCCUCUUAACUGUCAACUGCUCAGAAGUUUCCUGGGAGUCCAUUUCUGCUGUUUCUGAAGCAGUUUCGAGCCUUGAAUGGGAGAGUGGAUCUGGGAGAGUGGCUGCUUCCUCUCUUCUCUGCUUUCCUCUGCCAGGGUUAGCAGAAGGUUUAUUUUCCAGAUGCAGUGAAAGGCUUCAAGGGCCCCAACGGGCAACUCCUGGGCACCUUCAGCAUCCUGCCAGGGGAGUCGUGGUCAUCAUGAUGGAAAGGCCUUCUCUUCUGUGCUGUGGCCCACUUCAUCAAGGGAAAAAGAGGCACCCGAACAGGACCAUGAAAGAUUUGGGGGACAAGUGGUGUUUCCUUUGAUCUAUCUGGUGUAAGGUCAAGAUGCGUAAAGAUAAAGCAGGAUCCAGCAAGGAAACAGUCGACUUUGAAAGAAGGUGUAGUAGUCAAGAAGAGAAGAGAAGGACCAGGCUGGCCAUAUACUGCUUCCCUGCCCUGAGGAAAAUCCCAUUAUCCACUUCCAAAUGAAAUUGGCACCAUUGAAUAGGACUAGAUCAGAAAUAAGAAGGGUCCAUAUACUAACUUUGGUAUUUCAGGAGGACCUCCCCACUUCUGCCGGCGGCCCCGGGACACUCGCAUAACCCCCUUCUGCAGCCAGCCCCGGGACAGUCCCGCACCCCCCUUCUGCAGCCGGCCCCGGGACAGUCCCGCACCCCCCUUCUGCAGCCGGCCCCGGGACAGUCCCGCACCCCCCUUCUGCAGCCGGCCCCGGGACAGUCCCGCACCCCCCUUCUGCAGCCGGCCCCGGGACAGUCCCGCACCACCCUUCUGCAGCCGGCCCCGGGACAGUCCCGCACCCCCCUUCUGCAGCCGGCCCCGGGACUGUCCCGCACCCCCCUUCUGCAGCCGGCCCCGGGACUGUCCCGCACCCCCCUUCUGCAGCCGGCCCCGGGACUGUCCCGCACCCCCCUUCUGCAGCCGGCCCCGGGACUGUCCCGCACCCCCCUUCUGCAGCCGGCCCCGGGACUGUCCCGCACCCCCCUUCUGCAGCCGGCCCCGGGACUGUCCCGCACCCCCCUUCUGCAGCCAUCCCCAGGAUACUCCUCCACCCCCCUUCUGCAGCCCGAACCAGGACUGUCCUAUAUCCUCCUUCUGCAGCUGGCCCUGUGUCACUCCCACACACCACCUUCAGCCGGCCCCAGGACACUCCCGCACCCCUCCCUUCUGCAGCCAGCCCUGCUAUACUCCCACACAUCCUUCUGCAGAUGGCUCCCUUCUACACUCCCUCACCUCCCUUCUGCAAUGGCCACAAUUCAGUCCUGCCCCCCCCCCCAUGAUUUUCCUCAGGGUAGGGAUUAAAAUGCUGGCCAAGAAACGAGAACUCCUGCAGAAGUUACUACAGCCAGUAAAGGCAAGGGAAAUGCAGACUCCCAGGAGGAUGGGGCAGCUCUAGAUGGAACAUAUGCAGUUGGUGACCCAGGAGUGGAAAAUGCUGUUGAGAUUAACGCUGUCUUACCCAAGGACCCGCCUCACGGCUGAACCAAGGUAAUAUGCAGUAUCAGUUACUGGCUUUGUAUUUUUGUUUUUGAAUUGCUUGUUUCCUUUCCCCGUAGUUCCCAAUUUGGGUGCAAAGACAUGGUGAACCCAAUUUGGGGAUGGAUCCUCAGAAGUCUUGGAUGUGGGUGUGUCUGGGGAGCAAAGGGGCUAUGCAGAAGGGAUUGGCUGCAUCCAAGUUCCAAUUCUGUGGAGGGCUGGAGAAGACAAGAGUUGGACCAAGCCAGGAUGGGUGGGGAGCUUGGGAGGAGAGUGGGGCAGUGGAGGUGGGGCAGCCCUACUGGACUCCAUGGGACACUGGUGUGCUGCCCUCCUCUGCUUCCAUUUAUAUAGAAGGUGUGUGGCGGGGGGUGAAGCUGAUGGUAAGCCUUUUAUUUCAUAUAUCUUUAAAAUGUUUCUAUCUUUUAUAUCCAAACUGCUCUUUGUUAAGACACCCCGGGGUGGUGUGCAGCCCAUCGGAUCCCUAGCAGGGAGGAGUGCAUUCUUGUAAUUAAUUUCAGUAGAUCCCAGUUAUUAAUUCCAAAGUGGGGCUUCCCCCCAGUUUCUGGGAAAAUAAAGCACCCCAUCCAGUGACAGCACAAACACCUUUCCACUGCCGGACACUUUCCAGAUUACAGUUUCAACCGCCGUAAAAUGCUUCAGCCUGGUGGGAUCGAAUUGACAACAUAAUGAAUGGGUGUGGUGCAAGUCCACCAGCAGGGGGAGAAGUCUUUUCUAGUUUGCCCCAGAUGCCCUAAAAUGGAAAACACAGCAAUCUUUUUACAACGUUGCAGGACUGUAACAAAGCCAUAAAAACCGAAAGAAGGCAUUGGAAAUGUGAAUGGCACCUUGCUGACAGUGCAGGGACUGCAAUGUCAAUACGUAGGAAACAGGAAAGCACUCUUUGCAGAUCUGUAGUGACAUUAUGGUAAGGGUUAAUCUGGAAAGCGCCCAGGCUGACCUGCGCAACUAACUCCUUGCAGCUGAGCUAGCUUGAGUGAGUCUGAGUGUUUUCUUAUCGGAAGCACACAGCUGAAUCUCCAAACAGAAAUACUACCUGCCGGGCAAAAGAAGGGGAGGGGAAGGGAAGAAGGAAUAAAGACAAACCCUAGUGCCUCCAACAGCAGCGGGGUUGAUGGGAGUUGUAGCCCAACAACAGCUAAAGUUUGGCCACCCCUGCAAUAAUUAAUAUAGUCUGCUGGUGCAGAACCCAAUGUGUUUAUGAAGAAAACCCAACACAUUUUGGGCAGCAGCUCUUUGGUAGGGGGCUGGAUAAAGACAUCAGCAUGAAACCGAGGGAGUUGAAACUGAGGGUCAUUGAGAAAAUGACUAUUAAGUCGUAGCAGGUCUGCCAAUCUGAAGCUCACACUUGUUCUCUUUUUCUUCUUUCUCCAUCCUAGCAGCAAAGAAGCCCUUCCCAGAAUCCCUCUUGGCAUUGUUAUUGAGGGCAACCUCAGCCAGGUCAAUACACCUCAACACUGUGACAAAUCUCCCCUCUGGGUGGAUGGAAUUGUGGGCCCUAGACAAGGCAGGAAGAGGUUGAGGAGAGCAAGCCCACACCAGAUUCCCACUCCCUUUAUGGCUAGGUUCCCCAAAGCCUCAGGUCCAUUCAAGGUGUUGGGAUAAGACACCCCACCACCAAAGGUUUCUUCUGUGUGGAAGGUAGGAUAGUUCUCCAUACAGAGGCUUUUUGCCUUCACCUCUGAGGCAAAAAUCACCCCCUUCUUAUCAGGGAGGCAUUGUUGCACCAUAAAGCUUCACCCCAGGAGUGAAAGCCACACCUUAGUUCACAGAACCCCUUUCAAACUAGUUUCUAAAGUUGUGGCCUGAGUUUGCAACCCUUUCCUCUGCCCCAUCUCUUGAUUCUGAGCCUGGGUGCAAGACUACACCUUCUCCUAGCACUGCAUGCAGUGUGGCGGGUGCUGGUUUUGCAUCCAUUCCCGGCAAGGUAUAAGAAACAAGCCUGGAAAACACAGUGGACCAUGCUGUGACUGCAUCCUCAGUAGGGCUGUUCCUGGAUCGGCAUGUCUGAACCGGAUGAAUCGUUUUGGUGCCCCUCUAACGAGGCGCUGAAAUGAUUUGAGCACAUCCCUUAUCCUUGGUCCAUAGGGCCAUCCAGGGGGAUGAGGGCAUGCUAAUAAAAGCAACCCCCAACCUCUGCAGGAAGACCUUGGCAUCUGCUCACACACACCCCCGGGCGACAGUGUGGGAUUAGCUGGCUGCCUUUUGGGGCCGAGUAGGAAUUUUUCCCAUCCACCCAGAUUGGCCUGGAGGUGGCUGGUUUUUUGCCUACUCUGCACUGUUGCACUGGAAGGGGUUUUUGAUCUGGCCCAUGUUAGGAGCGGUGCCUUUAAAUAGAGUAGCCCCAUGGUCACCAGCAGCAUGAUGACAGGUCAGAGGAGGGGAUACGGUGCUGCACCCUAGGGGUGGCAGCUGCACUGUGGCUUGGCUACACUGCAUCUUUUUAUUGAAACUAAGUUAAUAAAGUUAUCGCCCUAGUUUUAACCCA